rnacentral:rRNA from 1 species
CACGUAGGGGCAAGCGUUGUCCGGAUUUAUUGGGCGUAAAGAGCUCGUAGGCGGUUCGGUAAGUCGGGUGUGAAACCUCCAGGCUCAACCUGGAGAGGCCACCUGAUACUGCUGUGACUCGAGUCCGGUAGGGGAGCGUGGAAUUCCUGGUGUAGCGGUGAAAUGCGCAGAGUAUCAGGAGGAACACCAGCGGCGAAGGCGGCGCUCUGGGCCGGAACUGACGCUGAGGAGCGAAAGCGUGGGGAGCGAACAGG